UCAGGAUGAACGCUAGCUACAGGCUUAACACAUGCAAGUCAGGGGCAGCGAGAGGAAAGCUUGCUUCCUUGUCGGCGACCGGCGCACGGGUGAGUAACGCGUAUCCAACCUUCCCCAUAGUAGAGGAUAGCCCGGCGAAAGUCGGAUUAAUACUCUAUGUUGUGUCAUGAGGACAUCUGAAUAACACUAAAGAUUUAUCGCUAUGGGAUGGGGAUGCGUCUGAUUAGGUAGUCGGCGGGGUAACGGCCCACCGAGCCGACGAUCAGUAGGGGUUCUGAGAGGAAGGUCCCCACAUUGGUACUGAGACACGGACCAAACUCCUACGGGAGGCAGCAGUGAGGAAUAUUGGUCAAUGGACGAGAGUCUGAACCAGCCAAGUAGCGUGCAGGAAUGACUGCCCUAUGGGUUGUAAACUGCUUUUAUGCGGGAAUAAAGUCAGGUACGUGUACCUGUUUGUAUGUACCGCAUGAAUAAGGACCGGCUAAUUCCGUGCCAGCCGCUGC
rnacentral:rRNA from 1 species